CAGGAGGUAGUUUAUUGAAAAAUAUUAAUUUUGGAAAUUAAUGAUAAAGAAAUUCUUUUCUCUUGA
rnacentral:tRNA from 1 species